AGUGAACGCUGGCGGUAGGCCUAACACAUGCAAGUCGAACGGCAGCACAGUAAGAGCUUGCUCUUACGGGUGGCGAGUGGCGGACGGGUGAGGAAUACAUCGGAAUCUACUUUUUCGUGGGGGAUAACGUAGGGAAACUUACGCUAAUACCGCAUACGACCUACGGGUGAAAGCAGGGGAUCUUCGGACCUUGCGCGAUUGAAUGAGCCGAUGUCGGAUUAGCUAGUUGGCGGGGUAAAGGCCCACCAAGGCGACGAUCCGUAGCUGGUCUGAGAGGAUGAUCAGCUACACUGGAACUGAGACACGGUCCAGACUCCUACGGGAGGCAGCAGUGGGGAAUGUUGGACAAUGGGCGCAAGCCUGAUCCAGCCAUACCGCGUGGGUGAAGAAGGCCUUCGGGUUGUAAAGCCCUUUUGUUGGGAAAGAAAAGCAGCAGGUUAAUACCCCGCUGUUCUGACGGUACCCAAAGAAUAAGCACCGGCUAACUUCGUG
rnacentral:rRNA from 1 species